GUAUUAAAGGCAACGCCUGCCCAGUGAAAAAUUAAACGGCCGCGGUAUCCUAACCGUGCAAAGGUAGCAUAAUCAUUUGUCUAUUAAUUGUAGACCUGUAUGAAAGGCAAAAUGAGAGCCCAACUGUCUCUUAUAACAAAUCAAUUAAACUGAUCUCCUAGUACAAAAGCUAGAAUACUAACAUAAGACCAGAAGACCCUGUGAAGCUUUAACUAACCUAUUAAACCCAAUAAUAACUACUUUCGGUUGGGGCGACCUUGGAAUAAAAAAGAACUUCCAAUAUAUGACUCCCUCAUAAAAUAAGGCCAACAAGCCAACACUAGACCCAGUAUAACUGAUAAUUGAAAUAAGUUACUCCAGGGAUAACAGCGCUAUCUUCUUUAAGAGCCCAUAUCAAAAAGAAGGUUUACGACCUCGAUGUUGGAUCAGGACAUCCCAGUAAUGCAACCGUUACUAAAGGUUCGUUUGUUCAACGAUUAACAGUCCUACGUGAUCUAG
rnacentral:rRNA from 1 species